rnacentral:rRNA from 1 species
AGAGUUUGAUCAUGGCUCAGGAUGAACGCUAGCGGCAGGCUUAAUACAUGCAAGUCGUGGGGCAGCAGCUUUGUAGCAAUACAGAGGCUGGCGACCGGCAAACGGGUGCGGAACACGUACGCAACCUACCCAUAACUGGGGAAUAGCCCGGGGAAACCCGGAUUAAUACCCCGUAACAUAUUGAUAAGGCAUCUUAUUAAUAUUAUAGCUCCGGCGGUUAUGGAUGGGCGUGCGCCUGAUUAGGUAGUUGGCGGGGUAACGGCCCACCAAGCCUACGAUCAGUAACUGGUGUGAGAGCACGACCAGUCACACGGGCACUGAGACACGGGCCCGACUCCUACGGGAGGCAGCAGUAAGGAAUAUUGGUCAAUGGACGCAAGUCUGAACCAGCCAUGCCGCGUGGAGGAUGAAGGUCCUCUGGAUUGUAAACUUCUUUUAUCUGGGAAGAAACCCAUGAAUUCUUUUGUGGUUGACGGUACCAGAUGAAUAAGCACCGGCUAACUCCGUGCCAGCAGCCGCGGUAAUACGGAGGGUGCAAGCGUUAUCCGGAUUUACUGGGUUUAAAGGGUGCGUAGGCGGAAUGGUAAGUCCGUGGUGAAAUCCCCGAGCUUAACUUGGGAACUGCCAUGGAUACUAUCAAUCUUGAAUAUCAUGGAGGUAAGCGGAAUAUGUCAUGUAGCGGUGAAAUGCUUAGAUAUGACAUAGAACACCAAUUGCGAAGGCAGCUUACUACGCGAUUAUUGACGCUGAGGCACGAAAGCGUGGCGAUCAAACAGGAUUAGAUACCCUAGUAGUCC